rnacentral:rRNA from 1 species
GAUGAACGCUGGCGGCGUGCCUAACACAUGCAAGUCGAGCGAGCUGAACUAUUUGAAGCCUUCGGGUGGAAAAUAAGGAUGCUAGCGGCGGACGGGUGAGUAACGCGUGGGCAACCUACCCUGUACAGGGGGAUAACAAUGGGAAACCAUUGCUAAUACCCCAUAAUACCUUUAAGGGGCAUCCCUUAAAGGUCAAAGAAUUUCGGUAUAGGAUGGGCCCGCGUCUGAUUAGCUAGUUGGUGAGGUAAUGGCUCACCAAGGCGACGAUCAGUAGCCGGCCUGAGAGGGUGAACGGCCACACUGGAACUGAGACACGGUCCAGACUCCUACGGGAGGCAGCAGUGGGGAAUAUUGCACAAUGGGGGAAACCCUGAUGCAGCAACGCCGCGUGAGCGAUGAAGGCUUUCGAGUCGUAAAGCUCUGUCCUAAGGGAAGAUAAUGACGGUACCUUAGGAGGAAGCCCCGGCUAACUACGUGCCAGCAGCCGCGGUAAUACGUAGGGGGCAAGCGUUAUCCGGAAUCAUUGGGCGUAAAGGGUGCGUAGGCGGCCUUAUAAGUCAGAGGUCAAAGGCUACGGCUCAACCGUAGUAAGCCUUUGAAACUGUAGGGCUUGAGUGCAGGAGAGGAGAGUGGAAUUCCUAGUGUAGCGGUGAAAUGCGUAGAUAUUAGGAGGAACACCAGUGGCGAAGGCGACUCUCUGGACUGCAACUGACGCUGAGGCACGAAAGCGUGGGUAGCGAACAGGAUUAGAUACCCUGGUAGUCCACGCCGUAAACGAUGAGUGCUAGGUGUCGGGGGUCAAACCUCGGUGCCGCAGUUAACGCAUUAAGCACUCCGCCUGGGGAGUACGUACGCAAGUAUGAAACUCAAAGGAAUUGACGGGGACCCGCACAAGCAGCGGA